rnacentral:tRNA from 1 species
GACGGUAGCUCAGUGCUAGAGCACCUGCCUUGCAUGUAUGAGGUACUGCGUUCGAUCCUUAGCACCCCA